UACGUAGGGCGCAAGCGUUGUCCGGAAUUAUUGGGCGUAAAGAGCUCGUAGGCGGUCUGUCGCGUCCGUUGUGAAAACUCGAGGCUCAACCUCGGGCUUGCAGUGGAUACGGGCAGACUAGAGUGCGGUAGGGGGAGACUGGAAUUCCUGGUGUAGCGGUGAAAUGCGCAGAUAUCAGGAGGAACACCGAUGGCGAAGGCAGGUCUCUGGGCAUUAACUGACGCUGAGGAGCGAAAGCAUGGGGAGCGAACAGG
rnacentral:rRNA from 1 species